GGCCGUGUGGCUCAAUGGCAGAGCGUCUGACUACGACUACUGUGUGGGAUUGUGCGCAUGGGAUUGUGUGGUAUCAGAAGGUCGCAGGUUCGACCCCUGUCUCGGUCA